AUUGAACGCUGGCGGCAGGCCUAACACAUGCAAGUCGAACGAGUGGCGGACGGGUGAGUAAUGUCUGGGAAACUGCCUGAUGGAGGGGGAUAACUACUGGAAACGGUAGCUAAUACCGCAUCCCAUCGGAUGUGCCCAGAUGGGAUUGGCUAGUAGGUGGGGUAAAGGUUCACCUAGGCGACGAUCCCUAGCUGGUCUGAGAGGAUGACCAGCCACACUGGAACUGAGCCACGGUCCAGGGGCCUACGGGAGGCAGCAGUGGGGAAUAUUGCACAAUGGGCGCAAGCCUGAUGCAGCCAUGCCGCUUGUAUGAAGAAGGCCUUCGGGUUGUAAAGUACUUUCAGCGGGGAGGCGUUACCCGCAGAAGAAGCACCGGCUAACUCCGUGCCAGCAGCCGCGGUAAUAC
rnacentral:rRNA from 1 species